GGGUGGGCAAGGACAAGAAUUUAGGGAAUUUAGGGAAGCAGAAGAGUAAGAACACCAUAAUCAAAGAAGAAACUAUCUCAAGUCAAUCCAAUAAAGAGAAGGUUAAUAACAGUGAAAAACCUGAACAUCAUCAAGAAGAAGAGGAAGAAGAAAUAGCUUCUGAUUCUGAGUCUGACUACCAGGAACUUUCUGAUUAUGAGGAUGAGUUUUAUGAAUCAUCUGGAGGGUCAGAGUCUGGAGAAAGCAAUUCUUCUGGUGAUGAGGGUUCUAUUGACACGGACAAUGGUGAUCGCAUGGAUAAUGAAGAUCAAAGCAAUGAUUCAGAAUCUGAUAAAGUGGCUGAAGAAAGUGAUUCUUCCGAGGACGAGGUGGCACCUCGAAAUACAAUUGGAGAUGUUCCCUUGAAGUGGUAUGAGGAUGAAAAACACAUUGGAUAUGACAUUACUGGAAAGAAGAUAACAAAGAAAGAGAGGCAAGAUAAACUGGAGUCAUUUCUUGCAAGUGCUGAUGACUCUGAAAAUUGGCGCAAGAUUUAUGAUGAAUACAAUGAUGAGGUGGUUGAGCUGACAAAAGAAGAAAUCAAAGUUAUUCGUAGAUUGGUCAAAGGAAAAGCGCCACAUCUCGACUUUGAUCCAUAUCCAACGUACAGUGACUGGUUUAAAUGGGACGCUAAGCACCCACUAUCAAAUGCUCCAGAACCAAAGAGGCGGUUUACUCCCUCAAAGUGGGAAGCUAAAAUGGUUGUUAAGUAUGUUAGGGCAAUUCGCAAAGGUUUAUUAAAGUUUGACAAGCCAAAAGAAGAACCACGUUUUCACCUGUUGUGGGGGGAUGAUUCUGGCUCGGCAGAAAAGGCUGCACAUUUAUCAUACAUUCCUGCACCAAAGCCAAAAUUGCCAGGCCAUGAGGAGUCAUAUAAUCCUUCUCUCGAAUACAUACCAACACAGGAAGAGAUUAAUUCUUAUCAGCUGAUGGAUGAGGAAGACCGACCUAAAUUUAUACCUAAACGGUAUACAUCUCUUAGAAGUAUUCCAGCAUAUGAGAAUGCUGUUAAGGACUCUUUUGAGCGUUGUUUGGAUCUAUACUUAUGUCCUAGAGUUCGCAAGAAACGUAUAAAUAUUGAUCCCAAAUCCUUGAAACCGAAGCUACCAAGUAGAAAAGAUCUUAAGCCCUACCCAGUGACAUGCUAUCUUGAGUAUAAAGGUCACAAUGGUGCAGUUAUGUCAAUUUCUACUGAAGCUUCAGGACAGUGGAUUGCUUCAGGUUCAACUGAUGGAACUGUGCGUGUUUGGGAGGUUGAGACUGGUAGAUGUCUUAAAAUCUGGGAGUUUAGUGAAGCUGUCCAGUGUGUAGCAUGGAGUCCUUUGCACGAGCUUCCUAUCUUGGCGAUCUCUGUGGGACAAGAUGUAAUUGUUUUGAACACAGGAUUGGGCAAUGAAGAAGUGCAGAAAAAAGUAAAGGAACUUCUUCAUGUUGAGAUGUCUAUUCUGGCAGAUGAUUCUGGUAACAAGAGCUCCAGUUUGAGCUGGGUUCGAGAUGAGAAACAUGAAGGAAUAAAAUUGAGGCAUUUUAGGACUGUAUCUGCAGUAGAAUGGCAUCGUAAAGGGGACUAUUUCUGUACUGUGAUGCCAGCUGGGGAAUCAAAAGCAGUUCUUAUACACCAGCUUUCUAAGAAGCUUACACAAAGACUUCCAUUUAAGCUGCGUGGGCUUCCAGUAUCAUCAGUUUUUCAUCCUACUCGUUCUGUGUUCUUUGUUGCAACAAAGAAGAAUGUUCGCGUUUAUGAUUUGUUAAAGCACAAGCUGAUUAAGAAGCUUGAGACAGGACUCCGUGAAGUUUCAUCCAUUGCAGUUCAUCCUGCUGGUGAUAAUGUAAUUGUGGGAAGCAAGGAGGGAAAAUUAUGUUGGUUUGAUAUGGACCUUUCAUCUAAGCCUUACAAAAUUCUUAAGUGUCAUCCGAAAGAUAUAACAAGCGUGGUGUUCCAUCGUUCAUACCCGCUAUUUGCAUCAUGCUCUGAUGAUUGCACUGCAUAUGUUUUUCAUGGCAUGGUUUAUUCUGAUCUUAAUCAGAACCCUCUUAUCGUUCCACUGGAAAUUCUCCGUGGACAUUCAAGCUCAAAUGGAAGAGGAAUAAUGGAUUGUAAGUUCCAUCCUCGGCAACCUUGGUUAUUCACUGCUGGCGCAGAUUCAUCAAUCAAACUUUAUUGUCACUAGGAUGACCUAAAAGAAGCAUGAUCACCGAGUUGUGACAUUGAAGGAUGAUUAGGAUUUCAGACGUUCCCCAAUGCUGGGUUGUAUGCUACAAGGUAUUUGUUCAAGCAUUAUAGAUAAACUGGUCCAUGUAGUGGGGCUUUAGCAUUGAUUUAGAUUGUUGUCUUUGUUAACUGGGCAGGCCACAGUUGUAUUUUGAACAGGACAAAACUUGUCCUCU
rnacentral:misc_RNA from 1 species